UCCAUAUUGCACUAGCAAGCAUCUCGUUAACCAGCAAUUGUCAUACACACAACACAAUCAAAUAUUAACAUUUAAAAUUAAAUCCUUAAACAUAUGAAGGAUUAAAGUCCAUUCCAUUCAUCUAUAGAUUCGAUACAUUUAGAAUACAAGCCACCAAUUUUCUUACUUCAAUACAGGGGAAAAUCGUUUAUAUGGUGGCUCCAAUCUAAAGACAAUUUUACAAGAAUUCAUUCUGCAUUCAUUCUCCCCAUUGGUGGCACCAACAAUGAAGACACUUUCCUUUGCAUUCAUUCUGCAAGAAUUCUUAUUGUCCAUAAACAAGCCAUAUAGCAAAUCAAAGCUAUCACUAGCCGUAUUCUCCACCAAAUUCAACAGAGUCUCAUACCCUUUUGUAUUCACUGGGGUACUCUGCAAUUACAACUUCUCCAAAAUCCUCCCCGUUGUGUGCGUAAUAAACUGAGAUAAUGCAGCACAUUCAUCAUCCUCAUUCCCAACCUAACUUUAUCAAACACAGAUGCUUAUUUCUGCCAACCAUUUUUCCCAAUUUCGGGACCAAACAUGGGAGGGAAGAUAUUGUAAGAAAAUAUUGUGUGUUAUGCCUAAGGCCUUGAAUAGGAAGGGAUUCGAGCACUGAUUCAAUGGAAAUAACGGAGGUGCAAAGAAGAAGAUCUGGAUGUUGUUCACAGAGGUCGUUGAGGUCAAAGAAGAAGGCGGCGCUAAGGGAUUGCAAUGAACUGGCCGAAGCUACCAUAUCUAAUAAUGGCGAUUUUGAGCUUCAUUGACUGGGCGAAGGGGUUAAGGAGUUGGGCUUCAUCGUCGUAAGGUUGUGCGACGUCUAUGGUUUGGACCCCAAGGCGGUUGAGGUGACAGGAGAGGACGGUGGGAUGGUAAAAUGGUGGAGAGGUGAAGGGAAAUUUGUGGGUAUGGAAAGA
rnacentral:lncRNA from 1 species